GGGACGCACGUGACAAUGCCCGGCUCUCUGGGCAUGCGCUCUGGCGCCUUCGACGGGGCGAAAGCCCGCGUGCGCGGCGGAACCCCGGUCCUGCUAAGGUCCCGCAAGGCUUGUUGAGGAAGCGGGCCAUAGAUACGCAGAGAAUAUGGUCAACCCCCGAACUCUUCAAAGUUUUUAGGCCCUCACUCCUCCUCAUUCCGACAGCGUACCCUCCUCGCGAUCUUUGAUCAGCAAUGACACCACCACCCACCCCAGCCACUAACAAGAGUGCACCCUGGAUUGCUUCCUUCCUGUCACCUCCUCAACCCCAACAAUCCAUGGGGUGUACCUGGCUCUGCUGGAGGAAUAUUGGAUGCUGUGGAGCCCAGGACAAGCUUCCCCUAGGAGGGAACAUUUGAGCAGAGCCCUGAGUUCACAAACAUCUCCCAGCAAGGGCCAGAGACAGCUGUAUGAGUCUCCAGCCAGAAUCUACACAGAAGAAUGGCUACUUCCAAGCAUGGGUGCCUGGCAUCUUGAUGUGCUCAGCCAGAAGUGAGAGGGCCUCUGCCCCUGCUCCUGUCCAGUCAUACCCAGAGGAAUUUGUGGGAUGAUCUCCAAGUUCUGCACUCACCUAAUCGUCUGAUGGAGGGUCCAGUCCAGUUCCACACCUGCUCCUGCUAGGAAGUGGAGGAGGCAGCAAAACUCGCUCCUCUCAGGCGCUGUGGGUGGUGGACUGGGCCUGACCGAUGCCCUUUCAUCAUUGCACUGCUUCCCAGCGGCCCACAGUAGUGCAACAGGGAAAGAGUGUCAGGCAGGCCUGCCGGCGCCUCUGGCGCCUCUCCCGGUGGUGGUCGUCCUAAAGAUUCUCUGCCUGGCGGCCCAGAGCGAAGCAAAAGAACGAGGGGGCAUCCCGCCCUUCUGGAGUCCCCCGCAGGGAGAGAAGGCGCCAGGGAUCCGGGCUGCGCCCCUCCGCACAGUCCCACAGGGUAGGGCCGCCGUGCCUGUGCCCUCCACCUCGGACCUUGCUACUCACGCGGCGGGACACACCUUUCGAACCAGGCCGGGACAGGACGCAGAAGGUUAGGGGGAGAAAGGUCCUAGCGGUUGUUCGCCCGUGUCCUCCCCAUCAGGACGACCCCGCACCUCGUGGCGCCCUCU